rnacentral:rRNA from 1 species
CAGUCGCCGCGGUAAUACGAAGGGUGCAAGCGUUAAUCGGAAUUACUGGACGUAAAGCGUGCGCAGGCGGUUGUGUAAGACAGGUGUGAAAUCCCCGGGCUUAACCUGGGAACUGCGCUUGUGACUGCACAGCUAGAGUAUGGCAGAGGGGGGUGGAAUUCCACGUGUAGCAGUGAAAUGCGUAGAGAUGUGGAGGAACACCGAUGGCGAAGGCAGCCCCCUGGGCCAAUACUGACGCUCAUGCACGAAAGCGUGGGGAGCAAACAGGAUUAGAUACCCCAGUAGUCCCUGUCUCUUAUAC